rnacentral:tRNA from 2 species
CGGGUGGUGGCGCAGCCCGGUAGCGUAUCUGCAUGGGGUGCAGGGGGUCGCUGGUUCGAAUCCAGUCCACCCGA